UACGGAAGGCAGCAGUGGGGAAUAUUGCACAAUGGGCGCAAGCCUGAUGCAGCCAUGCCGCGUGUAUGAAGAAGGCCUUCGGGUUGUAAAGUACUUUCAGUCGUGAGGAAGGUGUUAAGGUUAAUAACCUUAGCAAUUGACGUUAGCGACAGAAGAAGCACCGGCUAACUCCGUGCCAGCAGCCGCGGUAAUACGGAGGGUGCGAGCGUUAAUCGGAAUUACUGGGCGUAAAGGGCACGCAGGCGGUUAAUUAAGUUGGAUGUGAAAUCCCCGGGCUUAACCUGGGAAUGGCAUUCAAGACUGGUUAGCUAGAGUCUUGUAGAGGGGGUAGAAUUCCAUGUGUAGCGGUGAAAUGCGUAGAGAUGUGGAGGAAUACCGGGUGGCGAAGGCGGCCCCUGGGACAAAGGACUGACGCUCAUGUGCGAAAGCGUGGGGAGCAAACGAGGAUUAGAUACC
rnacentral:rRNA from 1 species